GACGAACGCUGGCGGCGUGCUUAACACAUGCAAGUCGAACGGAAAGGCCCUGCGUUUGCGGGGUUCUCGUGAGGCGCACAGGUGUGUAACACGUGUGUAACCCGCCCUUGUAUUUGGGAUAACUUUAGGAAACAGGGGCUAAUACCGCGUAUGAUCUCUUGCUGCAUGGGGGGCGUUAGUAAGUUUCGGCGGUUGUGGCUGGACUCGCUGCUUAUGCGCUUGAUGGUGGGGUAGUGGCUUACCAGGGCUUUGACGGGUAGCCGGCCUGGGAGGGUGACCGGGGACAAUGGGACUGAGGGAGGGCGCAGAAUCCAACGGGAGGCAGCAGUGGAGAAUCUUGCACAGUGGGCCGAAGCCUGAGGUAGAAACGCCGCGUGCGGGAUGACGGCUUUCGGGUGGAAAACCGAUGUCGAAGGUGCCGAAGAGUGAGUGACGGUAACGGGUAAAAAAGCACCGGCUAACUACGUG
rnacentral:rRNA from 1 species